rnacentral:rRNA from 1 species
UACGUAGGUGGCAAGCGUUGUCCGGAUUUACUGGGCGUAAAGAGCGCGCAGGCGGUCGCUCAAGUCGCGUGUGAAAGCCCCCGGCUCAACUGGGGAGGGUCACGCGAUACUGCUCGACUCGAAGGCAGGAGAGGGAGUGGAAUUCCCGGUGUAGUGGUGAAAUGCGUAGAUAUCGGGGAGGAACACCAGUGGCGAAGGCGACUUCCUGGCCUGUUCUUGACGCUGAGGCGCGAAAGCUAGGGUAGCAAACGGG